rnacentral:rRNA from 1 species
GACGAACGCUGGCGGCGUGCCUAAUACAUGCCAGUAGAACGCACAGUUUAUACCGUAGCUUGCUACACCAUAGACUGUGAGUUGCGAACGGGUGAGUAACGCGUAGGUAACCUGCCUGGUAGCGGGGGAUAACUAUUGGAAACGAUAGCUAAUACCGCAUAAUAUUGAUUAUUGCAUGAUAAUUAAUUGAAAGGUGCAAUUGCAUCACUACCAGAUGGACCUGCGUUGUAUUAGCUAGUAGGUGAGGUAACGGCUCACCUAGGCGACGAUACAUAGCCGACCUGGAGGGGUGGUCGGCCACACUGGGACUGAGACACGGCCCAGACUCCUACGGGAGGCAGCAGUAGGGAAUCUUCGGCAAUGGACGAAAGUCUGACCGAGCAACGCCGCGUGAGUGAAGAAGGUUUUCGGAUCGUAAAGCUCUGUUGUAAGAGAAGAACGGGUGUGAGAGUGGAAAGUUCACACUGUGACGGUAGCUUACCAGAAAGGGACGGCUAACUACGUG